rnacentral:rRNA from 1 species
GAUGAACGCUGGCGGCGUGCCUAAUACAUGCAAGUCGAACGAGUUCUCGUUGAUGAUCGGUGCUUGCACCGAGAUUCAACAUGGAACGAGUGGCGGACGGGUGAGUAACACGUGGGUAACCUGCCCUUAAGUGGGGGAUAACAUUUGGAAACAGAUGCUAAUACCGCAUAGAUCCAAGAACCGCAUGGUUCUUGGCUGAAAGAUGGCGUAAGCUAUCGCUUUUGGAUGGACCCGCGGCGUAUUAGCUAGUUGGUGAGGUAAUGGCUCACCAAGGCGAUGAUACGUAGCCGAACUGAGAGGUUGAUCGGCCACAUUGGGACUGAGACACGGCCCAAACUCCUACGGGAGGCAGCAGUAGGGAAUCUUCCACAAUGGACGCAAGUCUGAUGGAGCAACGCCGCGUGAGUGAAGAAGGCUUUCGGGUCGUAAAACUCUGUUGUUGGAGAAGAAUGGUCGGCAGAGUAACUGUUGUCGGCGUGACGGUAUCCAACCAGAAAGCCACGGCUAACUACGUGCCAGCAGACGCGGUAAUACGUAGGUGGCAAGCGUUAUCCGGAUUUAUUGGGCGUAAAGCGAGCGCAGGCGGUUUUUUAAGUCUGAUGUGAAAGCCCUCGGCUUAACCGAGGAAGCGCAUCGGAAACUGGGAAACUUGAGUGCAGAAGAGGACAGUGGAACUCCUGGUGUAGCGGUGAAAUGCGUAGAUUAUAUGGAAAGAACACCAGUGGCGAAGGCGGCUGUCUGGUCUGUAACUGACGCUGAGGCUCGAAAGCAUGGGUAGCGAACAGGAUUAGAUACCCUGGUAGUCCAUGCCGUAAACGAUGAAUGGUAAGGGGUGUUGGAGGGUUUCCGCCCUUCAGUGCCGCAGCUAACGCAUUAAGCAUUCCGCCUGGGGAGUACGACCGCAAGGUUGAAACUCAAAGGAAUUGACGGGGGCCCGCACAAGCGGUGGAGCAUGUGGUUUAAUUCGAAGCAACGCGAAGAACCUUACCAGGUCUUGACAUCUUUUGAUCACAUGAGAGAUCAGGUUUCCCCUUCGGGGGCAAAAUGACAGGUGGUGCAUGGUUGUCGUCAGCUCGUGUCGUGAGAUGUUGGGUUAAGUCCCGCAACGAGCGCAACCCUUAUGACUAGUUGCCAGCAUUCAGUUGGGCACUCUAGUAAGACUGCCGGUGACAAACCGGAGGAAGGUGGGGAUGACGUCAAAUCAUCAUGCCCCUUAUGACCUGGGCUACACACGUGCUACAAUGGAUGGUACAACGAGUUGCGAGACCGCGAGGUCAAGCUAAUCUCUUAAAGCCAUUCUCAGUUCGGACUGUAGGCUGCAACUCGCCUACACGAAGUCGGAAUCGCUAGUAAUCGCGGAUCAGCACGCCGCGGUGAAUACGUUCCCGGGCCUUGUACACACCGCCCGUCACACCAUGAGAGUCUGUAACACCCGAAGCCGGUGGCGUAACCCUUUUAGGGAGCGAGCCGUCUAAGGUGGGACAAAUGAUUAGGGUGAAG